rnacentral:rRNA from 1 species
CCUACGGGAGUCAGCAGUGAGGAAUAUUGGUCAAUGGGCGCGAGCCUGAACCAGCCAAGUCGCGUGCGGGAAGACGGCCCUACGGGUUGUCAACCUCUUUUGCCGGGGAGCAACGGGCGCCACGUGUGGCGCCCCUGAGAGUACCCGGAGAACAAGCAUCGGCUAACUCCGUGCCAGCAGCCGCGGUAAUACGGAGGAUGCGAGCGUUAUCCGGAUUUAUUGGGUUUCAGGGGUGCGUAGUGUGAGCGUUAAGUCAGUGGUCACAUUGAGGGGCUCAACCCCUUCCCGCCAUUGAAACUGGCGCUCUUGAGUGGAAGAGAAGUAUGCGGAAUGCGUGGUGUAGCGGUGAAAUGCAUAGAUAUCACGCAGAACCCCGAUUGCGAAGGCAGCAUGCCGGCUUCCUACUGACGCUGAAGCACGAAAGCGUGGGGAUCGAACAGGAUUAGAUACCCUUGUAGUC